UACAGAGACUGCAAGCGUUAUUCGGAUUCACUGGGCGUAAAGGGUGCGCAGGCGGCCAAGUGUGUCAGGUGUGAAAUCCCGGGGCUUAACUCCGGAACUGCGCCUGAAACUACUUGGCUAGAGCAUUGGAGAGGGAAGUGGAAUUCACGGUGUAGCAGUGAAAUGCGUAGAUAUCAGGAGGAACACCGGUGGCGAAGGCGGCUUUCUGGACAGAUACCGACGCUGAGGCACGAAAGCUAGGGGAGCAAACAGG
rnacentral:rRNA from 1 species